rnacentral:snRNA from 1 species
AUCUUUGCGCUUGGGGCAAUGUCGCAGUUUAUGAGGUCUAACCGAGACGCGACUAUUGCUGGUUGAAAACUAUUUCCAAUCCCCCGCUAGACGACCUUCGGGUCACUAGCGAAUUUCUGAUCAGAGGGCGCCGCAAGGCUGUAUCCCUC